rnacentral:rRNA from 1 species
AGCGGCGGACGGGUGAGUAAUGCAUAGGAAUCUGCCCGAUAGUGGGGGAUAACCUGGGGAAACCCAGGCUAAUACCGCAUACGUCCUACGGGAGAAAGGGGGCUCCGGCUCCCGCUAUGGGAUGAGCCUAUGUCGGAUUAGCUAGUUGGUGAGGUAACGGCUCACCAAGGCCACGAUCCGUAGCUGGUCUGAGAGGAUGAUCAGCCACAUCGGGACUGAGACACGGCCCGAACUCCUACGGGAGGCAGCAGUGGGGAAUAUUGGACAAUGGGCGAAAGCCUGAUCCAGCCAUGCCGCGUGUGUGAAGAAGGCCCUCGGGUUGUAAAGCACUUUCAGCGAGGAAGAACGCCUAGCGGUUAAUACCCGCUAGGAAAGACAUCACUCGCAGAAGAAGCACCGGCUAACUCCGUGCCAGCAGCCGCGGUAAUACGGAGGGUGCAAGCGUUAAUCGGAAUUACUGGGCGUAAAGCGCGCGUAGGUGGCUUGAUAAGCCGGUUGUG